GGUUGAGUCAACUGAUUUUUUUGCCUCUCAACUCCAAAUCUACCCUUUUUCACCACACUUACAACAAAGGAGCUGCACCCUAUCAACAUUUCUCCUCUGCCAGCAGCUGUCUUCAACACUGGAAAAUCAGUUCAUGAGAGCCACAACCUAUCUACUCGCUCACUAUGGUACAUCAGCACCUAUGAUGAUGGCUGGAACGCAGUACACUCAGAAGAACAAUCAAGAACUUGAAAGUAACAUUUCCUGGAGAUGAGAUGAAGGUUAAGAUCAAUCUACAAGGAGAUACAGUAGAUCGUAGAAGCACUAAUCUGGGAGUAAAUCAAGCUGGCUACACCUUACACGCUGCAAUUUAUGCUGCACGCCCGG